GGGAAAGGGUUUUCCUAGUCAAUGGCAUUGAGUCAGGUAGUCUAUGCACAUUCAACCAACUAGUUUGGAUCCUUAGUUGACUAGUUCAUUUAGCUCAUUUUUUACUACCGUGACUCCGACUUUUUCGGGACAACUUGGGUUGGACUACACUUAAAGUUAGAGAUGGGUCAAAUACUCACAUCGAGAAGCUUUAGUACCUCUCUGGAAAAUCUUUUUCAUGUUGGGCUUCUUAAUGAGUCUUUGCAUUUGACGCCACUGGUUGCGAUCUUCCUCAAGAUAGGAUACAAUGUGUACACAUGAUGGGGACUAAUACCAUGUAGGUUUACUAGAGGUCCAACCUAAGGCAUUGAGUGACUCUUCAAACUUUCAACACAGGAUUACUCUUGGCCUUCAGACAGGCUAGAAGAAAUGACCACCAGUAGGAUUCACCCAUACCUAAAAAUUGCAUAUUUUAAAGUAGAUGGUAAGGGCUUCCUCCGGGAAGGUUGAUGAAUUUGCUCAGACGGAACGGCUUGAUGGCACUCAGGGUAAGGAGUUCAAAUGUGGGGGUCCAAGGUCUCACGUGCAACAAAGCUACUCCCUUCCCCAAUUUUUGAUAGGUCGGUAACUUAUACACUCAUGACUCCCAAUUGCGUCAUUAGGCUCCAACUCCAUACUAGAGCCCUCUCAAUUGGGUCCUCCAAUAAACUCUCGCGUUCCAUAUGAUCCUGGACAAUGGAUUCAAUGAAAUCUACUUCUUCUACAUGGUUUUUAAAAUUCCAUUUUGUUUACCCACCAUAAAAAUGUUAAUCUCUAAGGUCCAUGUUUUCAAAUGAAAGCUUAAGCAACCAAUUCCUACAAUGAAUGAUUUAGGCAGUAGCCAAGAAAGGUCAUCCCAAAAUGAUAGGAAUAUGAUGCUUAGAGGACUUUUCCCAUUCGGUGGGUAUCUAACACAAUGAAAUCUACGGAGGUUAGUAGCACUUUGUCCACUUGACGAGAGACAUCCUCAAUAAUUUCCAUUGUGUGAUCUUAAGUAGAAUGAUCGGCAAUUCCAAUGUAUCGAGUGCGGUCUUAAUCUCUAUAAACCUAGUUCUUUAUAAUUGAAUACGGAAGAAGAUUCAUACUAGAACUUAGGUCAGAAAAGUGUGAUCAAUUCCAUGGCCUCCUAUGGUACACGAAAUAGAGGACAUCUAGGCGGUCUUAUAUUUCGGCGUGGCGUCUUGCAUUGAGAGGAUGCACUCGGCUCUCAUUCAUCAUAGUAGUCUCAUCUAAACAUGCAACGUUCUUUUCACAAGUACACAAGGCCUGUAAAAAACUUGGCAUAGGAAGGGAUUUUGUGAUAACAUCUACAAAUAGAAAUUUGACUUGAACUAUUUGCAUAUGUCAUAAAUCUAAGAAUUCAGUGACCUCUCUUAGGUUUAGCCAUCUCUGGGAACAGGGUAUGUUUCAAAUUUUCAUACCCUCAUCUCAGAUGCACAAUAGCUUUUUGAAUGCAUUAGAAUUUUUCUUGUCUCUGUCUUUUUUCUUCACUAUCUUUAUUUUUACCCUCUCUCUUCUGUUUGAUUGCCCCAACACCAGAAAAAUAUCAUCCUUUUUUGUCUUGAUGCUUUCUUUAGGCCGCAGUGAUGCUUUGUCUAUUUGUUUUUUGCCUCCUAAGGGUAGUGAUGGCAUGGCUUGUUCAUGUGUUGUGUCGACAAGUUUAUGUUUUUUUGUUUGGGUUCGGUUGGGGUUGAGUCGGAAACCGCCCUUGGUUUGUUGAGUCAUUAACAUCUUGUAGAUGUUCUUUGACUAUCGUGUGGUUCCCCUUAUGCUUGCUCAAGAUUAUUGACCCUAUUGUGAGUGCUCUUAGUCAUUGGCCGUUUGGUUGACCUCAUUAUUCCUCCAAUGAUGAGUUGGUAUGUAGCCAGUCUAUGUGGUAUAGGUAUAGUCUCGGUAGUGUGGGAUAGUCAUUUGAUGACCUUGGAGGUGUUGUGGGGGUUGUUAGAACUGUUGAGGGUCUUGUUUCCACCCAAAGUUAGGGUAAUUCUUCUAACUCGGAUUGUAUGUAUUGGAAUAGGGAUUGUUCCCACUCCUUUGAUUUUUUUUUGGUACCCCCCUUUAGAAUUGACCAACAACAUUUACUUGGCCAUUAAAUGCUUCCCUAACACCUGGUUAUAACUGGAAUGAUGCCCGUUUAGUUGUCAUGGUCUUGUGUGGAACAAACAGUCAAAUUGAGGGUAUUGUGUCAAACCAGUAACAAAAGUGGUGGCCUUGGAGGUUUCCAAAGCCUCCAACUUGCGUGUGAGUGACGUGACAUUAGAUUGUAGGUCUUCUAACUCCCCUAAUUGGUAUUUGCCUCCAACUUGUGGUUUUGUUCAUGAAACUUUGAGCCCCCAUGAAAUUUGGAGUCCCUACACUAGCCCAAUCUUUUGCCAUGUUGGUAUUGACCCAAUCUCUAGUUAAAUUGGCUAGAUAGUCCAAGAAUUUGAUGCUCAAUGGGGUUUGUGGGGUACGUUCAUGCGCACAUGGAUCUACGACAUCUUCAAUUAAGAAGUCAAUGAAAAGUAGAAUGUGUUUAUCGUGUGCCAUUCGGGAAAACCAUGGUGUGGAUAUGCAAACAAUAGGUCCUUGAACCUCUCCCAAUACUGAAAGAAAGUUUCACCAUUGUUCGGUGCGAAUUGAGAAAUGGCACGUCUUAGUGCCUCUGUGCGAUUUUCGGGAAAGAAUUUUUUUAAAAACUCUCCCUGGUUUGUGUAUGCCAUGGAAUGUAAGGACAUAGGCCUUAGUGAAUUGAACCACACUAGCCUUGUCCUUAGAGUUAAUGGAAAGAGUUUAAGAGUAAAAUCCUCCACGGACUGUGUUUAUUUGAAAAGAGGCCGCAUUCGACCUCAAAUUGUGAUGUGAGAAAUGUUUGUUCUGAGUCUAAAAGCCAUGAAAUUGGGUAAAGGCUGUAGCAUUCCGAUUUAACGUUGAGUGUGGCUUGAUUGUGCGGGAAUGACAUGGAGAUGUGGGGUGUUUGUCAGGGGUGGAGGAGUUCCAUGUAUUCCCUCAUUGUAACGGAGUUGGGCAUCGGCUUCCUCCCCACAUUAUUUUCUUCCCCUUUCCAUUGUUCUCCAUUUCCUCCCAUUGUUUCAGCGUUUUCAUUUCCCAGGAGAUUGUUAGGUUUUCCAUGGUAUAGGUUCCCAAGUCAACAACCAAGGGAAAUCAAGCAAAUCUAUUGGGUUUCGACAGGUGGAAUGGAGUCAACAAAGUAGGUGAAGGUUACGCAAAGGUAAACUCUGACAUGACGAUUGUGUGAUCUCUAAAGAAAUUGGACAUAUUAUGCAAUGCAACACAUAAAGCAUCAAUCCUUUCGAACCUCCACUCUCCACAGUAAUAAUACUCCGUUGCACAGAAUUGUAAAAGCAACCCAUUCAAUCAAUCCUCCAAUCUCCACAUAACUAGGCAUAAUCACCAAUAACAUUUAGCACAUAACCUAGCCGCCUCUAGUUCCACCUCCUAACUACCAUAUGCCUAGACCCAUAAAAAGUAAGAAAAAGCAAAUAAAAUUCUAAAAUUCUAACACAAAAAGAUGGAACGAAAUCACCAAAUGGCCUUAGCCAACGAUUUCUCUAUUGUUGUAGAUUGAUCAUGAAGCAAUCCGAUGAAACUCGCGUUGACUAAGGGUCGUGUUCAAGCAUGCCUCUUGUUGUCACUUGUGCGAAAGCAAAGCUCCUUUCCCCGGGCACGGCAACCAAAAACUUGACUCACGUCACCGUGUACUCCUUGUAGAUGAUCCAAGUGAAGGCACGACGGAGGUAUCUCUCACAGUAACGAUGUUUAUAUCACAGGGAGCUAUGUGCACAAGAACAUAAGCACUAGAACACUAUUCUCAAUCGCUCACAAAUCUCGAACCAACUGCUUCUAAAAUGAAAAUAUAAAAUUGUUUGUUUUGAGAAUGAUUUGUUAUCUAAACUAGCUAAAAAGCUAAAUGAAGGAACAUGAACUAAAUUGACUUUAAAUUGAUGAGAGAAAAUCUUGGGAUUGAUCGUUCCAACCAAUUUUGGUUCUCAAAAUUCCAAAGGAAAUGAUUUUAUAACUUAAAUCCUUUGACUUUGUCGAUAGUCGCGGAAUCAGAAGAUUAAAUAAUAAAAACACAUAUUCUUUCAAGAAGUUCAAUUUUUAGAUUAAAACUUAUUUUUAGAUUGAAAAAGAAUUACCACUUAUUCGUGCAAAGCCUAUACUGAAUGAGAAUUUAUGCAUAAACGUUACCAAAUAUGGAAAAACUUCAGGUUUUCAAUGAUACCUAGAACAAAGAAUUAAAAGAAAGAUAGAACUAAACAUUUGCACUUUAAAACCGAAAUCUCACCUCCUUUGUUCAUCCAAGAGUCUCAAUCAGUCUUUUCAACUAACCCCAAGAUGAAAGAAGUUAGCUACUCAUCUUCAUUAAAGAACAAGCUAAAACUAUUGAAAAAGAAGCCUAAAAAAAUUUGUGAAAAGUGUAAGGAAAACAAAAAGAAAAUUUCGUAUUGAAUACAAGAAAAAAGAUGGAAAAACUUGUAAUAAACUUCAAUUACAAUUGAUUACAACUAGAGAAGUGAAAAAUUUACUAAGAUCCAAUGAUUCUAAGCUUAGAACUUAUAAAAAGCGGCCUGUUGUAUGUAUGUAAUAAAACUCUGAUAAAACAAAAAUUUACGAUAAAGGUCGUAUUUAUAGGCCCCAUGAUGAUUGCGAGGCCCUAGAAAGUUCAGCCGAAAUUUGCCCGGCAUUGGAAAGCCCGGUCAUUUUUUCCAACUAUUGGAAACGUGGUAUUGGAAUGCUUUGGCUAUAAAAAUAGAAAUCAUCUCUCAGGAUGUUGGAACGCCACGUUGGAAUGCCGACCAAAAAACUUGCUCCCUUUAUUCUUGAUUUUGAGGCCCUUCGAAGCCAAUUGGCUGACGCAAGUUAGACCGCAAAACAUUUGUAACUUGACGAGAUCUUGCAACGUGUAACUUUUUGUAAAAUCAGCUCAAUUGGACUUCUGCCAGCAAAUAUAUGGACCCUUUUCGCGCGAUUUGCCGAUA
rnacentral:lncRNA from 1 species